GUGCUUGCUUCAGUAGCACAUAUACUAAAAUUGGAAUGAUACAGAGAAUAUUAGCUCGGCCCCUGCGCAAGGAUGACACGCAAAUUCAUGAAGCGUUCCAUACUUUU
rnacentral:snRNA from 1 species